UACGAAGGGGGCUAGCGUUGCUCGGAAUCACUGGGCGUAAAGCGCACGUAGGCGGAUCGUUAAGUCAGGGGUGAAAUCCUGGAGCUCAACUCCAGAACUGCCUUUGAUACUGGCGAUCUUGAGUUCGGGAGAGGUGAGUGGAACUGCGAGUGUAGAGGUGAAAUUCGUAGAUAUUCGCAAGAACACCAGUGGCGAAGGCGGCUCACUGGCCCGAUACUGACGCUGAGGUACGAAAGCGUGGGGAGCAAACAGGG
rnacentral:rRNA from 1 species